GGUGGUAUAGUGUAGUGGUUAUCACUCGGGAUUUUGAUAUGAAUUCCCGAAACCCAGGUUCGAACCCUGGUACUACCU